UACGUAGGUGGCAAGCGUUGUCCGGAUUUACUGGGCGUAAAGAGCGCGCAGGCGGUCGUUCAAGUCGCGUGUGAAAGCCCCCGGCUCAACUGGGGAGGGUCACGCGAUACUGAUCGACUCGAAGGCAGGAGAGGGUAGUGGAAUUCCCGGUGUAGUGGUGAAAUGCGUAGAUAUCGGGAGGAACACCAGUGGCGAAGGCGACUACCUGGCCUGUUUCUUACGCUGAGGCGCGAAAGCUAGGGGAGCAACGGGG
rnacentral:rRNA from 1 species